GUGUCAGCAGCCGCGGUAAUACAGGGGGGGCAAGCGUUGUUCGGAAUUACUGGGCGUAAAGGGCCAGUAGGCGGCCAACUAAGUCACACGUGAAAUCCCCAGGCUUAACCUGGGAACUGCGUGUGAUACUGGAUGGCUUGAAUUCGGGAGAGGGAUGCAGAAUUCCAGGUGUAGCGGUGAAAUGCGUAGAUAUCUGGAGGAAUACCGGUGGCGAAGGCGGCAUCCUGGACCGACAUUGACGCUGAACGGCGAAAGCUAGGGGAGCAAACGGGAUUAGAAACCCCUGUAGUCC
rnacentral:rRNA from 1 species